rnacentral:lncRNA from 1 species
CAGGUGUAACCUGUCCGUACAGUAACUCAGUCAUGUGGUGUAGUACAGGUGUAACCUGUCCGUACAGUAACUCAGUCAUGUGGUGUAGUACAGGUGUAACCUGUCCGUACAGUAACUCAGUCAUGUGGUGUAGUACAGGUGUAACCUGUCUGUACAGUAACUCAGUCAUGUGGUGUAGUACAGGUGUAACCUGUCUGUACAGUAACUCAGUCAUGUGGUGUAGUACAGGUGUAACCUGUCCGUACAGUAACUAUGUCAUGUGGUGUAGUACAGGUGUAACCUGUCCGUACAGUAACUCAGUCAUGUGGUGUAGUACAGGUGUAACCUGUCCGUACAGUAACUCAGUCAUGUGGUGUAGUACAGGUGUAACCUGUCCGUACAGUAACUCAGUCAUGUGGUGUAGUACAGGUGUUACCUGUCCGUACAGUAACUCAGUCAUGUGGUGUAGUACAGGUGUAACCUGUCCGUAGAGUAACUCAGUCAUGUGGUGUAGUACAGGUGUAACCUGUCCGUACAGUAACUCAGUCAUGUGGUGUAGUACAGGUGUAACCUGUCCGUAGAGUAACUCAGUCAUGUGGUGUAGUACAGGUGUAACCUGUCCGUACAGUAACUCAGUCAUGUGGUGUAGUACAGGUGUAACCUGUCUGUACAGUAACUCAGUCAUGUGGUGUAGUAUAGGUGUAACCUGUCCGUACAGUAACUCAGUCAUGUGGUGUAGUACAGGUGUAACCUGUCUGUACAGUAACUCAGUCAUGUGGUGUAGUACAGGUGUAACCUGUCUGUACAGUAACUCAGUCAUGUGGUGUAUUACAGGUGUAACCUGUCCGUACAGUAACUCAGUCAUGUGGUGUAGUACAGGUGUAACCUGUCCGUACAGUAACUCAGUCAUGUGGUGUAGUACAGGUGUAACCUGUCCGUACAGUAACUCAGUCAUGUGGUGUAUUACAGGUGUAACCUGUCCGUACAGUAACUCAGUCAUGUGGUGUAGUACAGGUGUAACCUGUCCGUACAGUAACUCAGUCAUGUGGUGUAGUACAGGUGUAACCUGUCCGUACAGUAACUCAGUCAUGUGGUGUAGUACAGGUGUUACCUG